GAAAUGGAGAAAGUAAAACCCUAACGGAAACAAUGUUGUUCCUGCCUCUCCUGUAGGGGACCCUAGCGCCUCUAGGUGUUGACCCUGAAGGCUCCAGCACUCCUGGGCUUCUGGAAGGCAGAAGAGGUCUCUGAACACAGGCUCUGCUGCUUAUCAUCAGAGUCAAGACCUUAACCUCCCAGCGGCUCAGUUUCUUCAUUUGUAAAAUAAGGUGGGAGGUCUCGGAAAUGCUUGCUGCAUGGCUUGCUAUGGACCAAGCAUCUCAGCAGCCUAAGGAAGAGCGAGGGAGGGCUCAGCUGGGCGCCAGACUUCAAUCACACUUGUCCUGUCUCCAAACGUGGACCUCCACAGAAGGCCAGGAGCCUGAUGACUUCCUCCUUGCCCUGGCCCUCCGCUGACUGUUGAUGUGCUCUCAGACUAAACCUGUCUGCAGCGAGGCCUCGGCCCCCUCCUGUGCAAAGACCACCAAGUGUAAGAACAGGAUGAGAAACUGGCCCGGCUGUGGAACCAGGAGCCGGGAGCCCAGGGUUAAUGGUACACGUCUCACACCAGUCUCAGAAACCUCGGAGCUGAUAGGAUUCCUGAAUGGGGUUUGAUCCGGACGGUGCUGACCACAGGCUGGUGGCCUUCCGCUGACAGAGAAGGGGUUGAGAAGACCUUGCUGGGAAAGCCUCCAGCUGACAUUGAAGGGGCUUGCUGCACUCAUUGGCAGACGAUGAAAUGACCCGCGUUGGCAUCGACCAGCAGAUACACCUGUACCCCUUCCCUGUGCCUUGAAGAGAGAAAUAACAGGAUUGCCGUUACAGGCCACGUUUCUGCUGGAUACUUCCCCUAGUUAUGUUCCUUAAGGCUCUUAGAGGAGGCUGGGAAGUGCUGCAGAGGCCAAAUACAACAUUCGCUGAGGCUGUGGAAGGUUCUGGGUUUGCACCCUGAGACCACCCUGAGCACCCCAGAUGCAUACACACCCAUGGUCUAGGGCUUGCUAAAGCUGGGGUGCUGUCUCUCUGUCUCUGUCUUCCUGUCUCUCU